AUUAGGGUGGCAGAGCCGGGAAAUUGCGUAAGACUUAAAACCUUGUCCUCAGAGGUUCAAAUCCUCUCCCUAAUA
rnacentral:tRNA from 1 species